rnacentral:rRNA from 1 species
GGCAAACGGGUUAGUAAUGCGCAGGAAUGUACCCUUGUGUCGAGCAUAAUUCACCGAAAGGUGGAAUAAUUCUCGAUGGUCUCUUCGGAGUAAAGAUUUAUCGCACAAGGAGCAGCCUGUGUCCUAUCAGCUAGUUGGCGGGGUAAAAGCCCACCAAGGCGACGACGGGUAGGGGACGUGAGAGCGUGACCCCCAACAUUGGCACUGAGACACUGGCCAAACACCUACGGGUGGCUGCAGUCUAGAAUCUUCGGCAAUGGGCGAAAGCCUGACCGAGCGACGUCGCGUGGAGGAUGAAGGCCCUUGGGUCGUAAACUCCUUUUAUAAGGGAAGAACUUCGGUGACGGUACCUUAUGAAUAAGAGGUUGCUAACUCUGUGCCAGCAGCAGCGGUAAUACAGAGACCUCAAGCGUUAUCCGGAUUCAUUGGGCGUAAAGGGUGAGUAGGCGGAUAUAAUAGUCAAAAGUCAAAUCAUUUCGCUCAACGGAAUGACUGCUUUUGAAACGUUAUAUCUGGAAACAGGUAGAGGUAAACGGAACUCAUGGUGUAGCAGUGAAAUGCGUUGAUAUCAUGGGGAACACCAAAGGCGAAGGCAGUUUACUGCACCUUGUUUGACGCUGAAUCACGAAAGCGUGGGUAGCGAACGGGAUUAGAUACCCCGGUAGUCCACGCCCUAAACGAUGUGCACUAGACAUUGGGGAGUUUCGACCCUCUCAGUGCCGUAGCUAACGCGUUAAGUGCACCGCCUGGGAAGUACGGCCGCAAGGCUAAAACUCAAAGGGAUAGAACGGGGAUCGCACAAG